UGUACCUACGGGACGCAGCAGUGAGGAAUAUUGGUCAAUGGGCGGGAGCCUGAACCAGCCAAGUCGCGUGAGGGAAGACGGUCCUACGGAUUGUAAACCUCUUUUGCCGGGGAGCAACGGGGUCCUUGCGAGGGCCCAAUGAGAGUACCCGGAGAAAAAGCAUCGGCUAACUCCGUGCCAGCAGCCGCGGUAAUACGUAGGUGGCAAGCGUUGUCCGGAUUUACUGGGUGUAAAGGGCGUGCAGCCGGGAAGACAAGUCAGAUGUGAAAUCCCGCGGCUCAACCGCGGAACUGCAUUUGAAACUG
rnacentral:rRNA from 1 species